GACGAGUGGCGGACGGGUGCGUAACGCGUAGGAAUCUGCCUAUUAGUGGGGGACAACAUGGUGAAAACCAUGCUAAUACCGCAUACGCCCUACGGGGGAAAGCGGGGGAUCUUCGGACCUCGCACUAUUGGAGUAGCCUGCGUUGGAUUAGCUUGUUGGUGGGGUAAAGGCCUACCAAGGCGACGAUCCAUAGCUGGUCUGAGAGGACGAUCAGCCACACUGGGACUGAGACACGGCCCAGACUCC
rnacentral:rRNA from 1 species